rnacentral:rRNA from 1 species
CCUACGGGAGGCAGCAGUGAGGAAUAUUGGUCAAUGGGCGUAAGCCUGAACCAGCCAAGUCGCGUGAGGGAUGAAGGUUCUAUGGAUCGUAAACCUCUUUUAUAAGGGAAUAAAGUGUGGGACGUGUCCUGUUUUGUAUGUACCUUAUGAAUAAGGAUAGGCUAACUCCGUGCCAGCAGCCGCGGUAAUACGGAGGAUCCGAGCGUUAUCCGGAUUUAUUGGGUUUAAAGGGUGCGUAGGCGGCCUUUUAAGUUAGCGGUGAAAGUCUGUGGCUCAACCAUAGAAUUGCCGUUGAAACUGGGAGGCUUGAGUAUGUUUGAGGCAGGCGGAAUGCGUGGUGUAGCGGUGAAAUGCGUAGAUAUCACGCAGAACCCCGAUUGCGAAGGCAGCCUGCCAAGCCAUGACUGACGCUGAUGCACGAAAGCGUGGGGAUCAAACAGGAUUAGAUACCCGUGUAGUC